rnacentral:tRNA from 1 species
GGGCCUGUAGCUCAGAUGGACAGAGCAGGGGUUUCCUAAACCCCGUGCCGGAGGUUCGAGUCCUCUCAGGCCCACCA